rnacentral:rRNA from 1 species
UGGGGAAUCAUGGUCAAUGGGCGAAAGCCUGAACCUGCGACGCCGCGUGAGUGAUGAAGGUCGUAAGAUCGUAAAACUCUUUUCAGGGACAUUAACGCUCCGGCCCUAAUACGGCCUGGAGUCUGACUCUCCCUGGAAUAAGCCCCAGCCAACUACGUGCCAGCAGCUGCGGUAAUACGUAGGGGGCGAGCGUUAUUCGGAAUUACUGGGUGUAAAGGGUAUGUAGGCGGCCUCACAAGUCGCGUGUCAAAGUCCAGCGCUCAACGCUGGGUUCGCACGUGAUACUGUCUGGCUUGAGGACUGGAGAGGUGAGCGGAAUUCCCGGUGUAGUGGUAAAAUACGUAGAUAUCGGGAGGAACACCAGCGGCGUAGGCGGCUCACUAGACAGUUUCUGACGCUAAGAUACGAAAGCGUGGGGAGCAAACAGG